rnacentral:rRNA from 1 species
ACAAACAAGAGUUUGAUCCUGGCUCCGAAUGAACGCUAGCGAUAGGCUUAACACAUGCAAGUCGAACGCAUACCAUAAUGUAUGAGUGGCAAACGGGUGAGUAACGCGUGAGACAUCUACCUUACAGCCCGGUAUAAAUCUCUGUAUACAGUGUAUUCUUUAUAUAUGAAUGAAUUCCGGAUACCUUUAUAAAAGAGACUCUCUCUAUAAAAGAAAGGCAAAGAACCGUUGUAAGAUGAGCUCGCGUAGGAUUAGGUAGUUGGUAAGGUAAAAGCUUAUCCAAGCCGAUGAUCCUUAGCUGGUCUGAGAGGAUGAUCAGCCACACUGGGACUGAGACACGGCCCAGACGCUUUCGAGCGGCAGCAGUGAGGAAUUUUGGACAAUGGGCGAAAGCCUGAUCCAGCUAUAUCGCAUGAAUGAAGAAGGCUCAAUUGGUUGUAAAAUUCAUAUUUUCAUUUAAGAUUAUGACAUUGAUGAAAUGAGCAGUCCCGGCCAACUCCGUGCCAGCAGCCGCGGUAAUACGGGGGGGGCGAGCGUUAUUCGAAAUGAUUGGGCGUAAAGGGCACGUAGACGGUUUUUUGAGUUGACAUGCUUGAGGUCGUCUAAAGAAUACAAAAUAAAUAUUCUUUCGUACGUCUAAAAGAUUAAAAUGGAGUGUGGAUUUUCACCCAGUCUUCUUUGCUUGAUAAAAGAAAAAAGAUCCGGUACUUUCUACACUUGGGAAAAAGGCCAAGGCUCAACCAUGGUGUUUCCCGCUCUACUAUAAAACUAGAGUAAGUGAGAGGAAAGUGGAAUUCCUGGAGGAAAGGUUAAAUUUUAUGAUAUCAGGAGGAAGGCCGAAAGCGUAGGCAACUUUCUACUGCUUCACUGACGUUGAGGUGCGAAAGCAUGGGGAUCAAAGGGGAUUAGAUACCCCCGUAGUCCAUGCAGUCAACUAUGAGAAUUAACUCUUAGGACACUUCUUAUCCCUUUAUCCCUUCUCUUACAGUCUGUAUUUCUUAUUUGUUUGAUUAAAAAAUAGUUUAAACAAAAGAAUUUAUACACUAAAAGAGAUUCAAAGAAAAAAAAAAUUCGAAAAAGAUACGAAGUGUUUUAGGGGUUACAGCUAACGCGUUAAAUUCUCCGCCUGAGGAGUACGACCGCAAGGUUAAAACUCAAAGGAAUAGACGGGGGCUCACACAAGUGGUGGAACAUGUGGUUUAAUUCGACACAACGCGCAAAACCUUACCAGCCCUUGACAUAAGCUUGAAUACGCUCUUUACCGAGUGAAAAUGUAUGCAGCUUACAGGCGUUGCAUGGCUGUCGUCAGCUCGUGUCGUGAGAUGUUUGGUUAAGUCCUUUAACGAGCGCAACCCUUUUGAAGUGUUGGUAGUAAAGAUUUGCACAUCAUAAAAUAGAAACAAGUUUUAUAUACAGUCGUUAUUUUUUUUUGUGCACUUCUUUAACCACUCUCUUCAUACUGCCGGUUAUAUACUGGAGGAAGGGAAGGAUAACGUCAAGUCGUCAUGACCCUUAUGGGCUGGGCUACACACGUGUUACAAUGGUGGUCACAAAAGGAAGCAAUGAUGCGAAUCGGAGCGAAUCCUUAAAAACCACCAAAGUUCGGAUUGUUCUCUGCAAUUCGAGAACAUGAAGAUGGAAUCACUAGUAAUCGUGGAUCAGCACGCCACGGUGAAUCUGUACCUGAGCCUUGUACUCACCGCCCGUCACGCUCUGGAAAUCGAGUGGAUCGGAAGCAUUCCUUGCUUUAUUCUCAAAUCUGUUUUUUUAUUUGUUUUAAAAAUUGUAGAAGCAGAUUUGAGUGUAAAAGUGGGUCUACGAUGAUCUGUUUGGUAACUGGAGCGAAGUCGUAACAAGGUAACCGUAGGGGAACCUGCGGUUGGAUUGACUCUCU